GUGCUCACUUCAGCAGCACAUAUACUAACAUUGGAAAGAUAUAGAGAAAUUAGCACGGCCCCUGCACAAGGAUGACACACAAGUGAAGCGUUCCAUAUUUUU
ensembl:snRNA U6 U6 spliceosomal RNA